UUAGGCACUUGGAUAUCGGCCCGCGCGGCCCGAGAUUUUCGUUCACCUGCGGCCGCCGCGUUUUGUGUCAGAAAUCGGGCCCCGUGAGGGGGGUACCUAUUUGUUUUGUUUCGUUUAUAGUGUUCUUUUCAAUUUAUGGAUUACUUCCGCCUAUCAAAUUAAAGAGGAAAGAAAGGCGCGUAUUAUGGCGUUUUCCACUUCGGGAUCGGUUGUGUGUGUUCGGAGUUACAAGGAGUUAAAAAUAAGCCCCUGAUCACAACCUGCCACUGUUCCAUUGGAUUUAUUGACAGCUCACCAGAAUAAAUCCUGACUUUAAUUAAAAUCCAGAAAUGCUUGCGGAGUUGGUCGAAUUCACAGAAAAACUUGUUUGAACAAGUUGCAAAAAAAUUGAGCACUUAAGAAAGCAUUUGUUGCAGACAAGAAAAAAAAAUUGACAUUAAUUUAACAAUAUCAAGUUGGCAGACUGGGUGAACUAAACAAUUGCCAGAAAUAAAGAAAGAAUAAAUAAGUAUCGUGACACAAUUGCGUGCUUCAAAAAACAUGUCAUAUUUCACAACUAAUUGUCUUUGAAGAAGUUGAACAUUUAAAUAAAUACAAUAAAAAUAUAAUGAAAAACUUGCUGA